CGGCGAUACCCGAAUGGGGAAACCCAGUGUGAUUCGUCACACUAUCAUUAACUGAAUCCAUAGGUUAAUGAGGCGAACCGGGGGAACUGAAACAUCUAAGUACCCCGAGGAAAAGAAAUCAACCGAGAUUCCCCCAGUAGCGGCGAGCGAACGGGGAGGAGCCCAGAGCCUGAAUCAGCAUGUGUGUUAGUGGAAGCGUCUGGAAAGGCGCGCGAUACAGGGUGACAGCCCCGUACACAAAAGCGCAUGUGCUGUGAGCUCGAUGAGUAGGGCGGGACACGUGGUAUCCUGUCUGAAUAUGGGGGGACCAUCCUCCAAGGCUAAAUACUCCUGACUGACCGAUAGUGAACCAGUACCGUGAGGGAAAGGCGAAAAGAACCCCGGCGAGGGGAGUGAAAAAGAACCUGAAACCGUGUACGUACAAGCAGUGGGAGCACAGGUUUACCUGUGUGACUGCGUACCUUUUGUAUAAUGGGUCAGCGACUUAU
rnacentral:rRNA from 1 species